CCAGAGGGCCGGGCGGCCGCGGGUGCGCAAGCACGCGAGGAAAGUCCGGGCUCCGCGAGACGACGGUGCCGGGUAACGCCCGGCGGGGGCGACCCCAGGGACAGUGCCACAGAGAGCAGACCGCCGAUGGCUCUUCGGAGCACAGGCAGAGAGUGAAAGGGUGCGGUAAGAGCGCACCGCGCCUCCGGUAACGGCAGGCGGCAUGGCAAACCCCACCGGGAGCAAGACCGAAUAGGGACGGCACAUGAGCUUCGUUUCAGCUCGUCGUCCGGGUUGGUUGCUUGAGGCGGCGUGCGAGCGUCGCCCUAGAGGAAUGGUCGCCUAUCUCCCCCAGUGAAAAUUGGCGGGGGUGGACAGAACCCGGCUUACAGGCCCUCUGGUACU
rnacentral:RNase_P_RNA from 1 species